rnacentral:lncRNA from 1 species
AUGCUUCCAAGUCAAGCAGCUAGCUAGCAAAGCACCCCUGCAAUGAAAAACACAGGAGCAGGAACCCAUGAAAAUCCAAGCCAUGAUUUUUGUAAGAAAUACUCCACAACUUAAUUGUGACACCGAACUCCGCAGAUAAAAAAGGCUUGAGCAGACCUGGAUUUCCCAUCUUCAGCCAUGUCACCUUCCACAAAAUUAGAUCAAGC